rnacentral:rRNA from 1 species
CAGUCGACGGGGAUCGUUUUCGGAUGUAUUCUAGUGGCGCACGGGUGAGUAACGCGUGAGCGACCUGACCCAAAGAGGGGGAUAACAUCGAGAAAUCGAUGCUAAUACCGCAUAAGACCACGGUAUCGCAUGGUACAGAGGUCAAAGGAGCAAUCCGCUUUGGGAGGGGCUCGCGUCCCAUUAGAUAGUAGGCGGGGUAACGGCCCACCUAGUCAACGAUGGGUAGCCGAGCUGAGAGGCUGAUCGGCCACACUGGAACUGAGACACGGUCCAGACUCCUACGGGAGGCAGCAGUGGGGAAUAUUGGGCAAUGGGCGAAAGCCUGACCCAGCAACGCCGCGUGAGGGAAGAAGGUUUUCGGAUUGUAAACCUCUGUCGCAGAUGACGAAGGAAGUGACGGUAAUCUGUGAGGAAGCCCUGGCUAACUACGUGCCAGCAGCCGCGGUAAUACGUAGGGGGCGAGCGUUGUCCGGAAUUACUGGGCGUAAAGGGUGCGUAGGCGGUUGAUUAAGUUGGAUGUGAAAUACCCGGGCUUAACCUGGGGGGUGCAUUCAAAACUGGUCAACUAGAGUUCAGGAGAGGGAAGCGGAAUUCCUAGUGUAGCGGUGAAAUGCGUAGAUAUUAGGAGGAACACCAGUGGCGAAGGCGGCUUUCUGGACUGACACUGACGCUGAGGCACGAAAGCGUGGGGAGCAAACAGGAUUAGAUACCCUGGUAGUCCACGCGGUAAACGAUGAAUACUAGGUGUAGGGGGUAUCAACUCCCUCUGUGCCGCAGCAAACGCAAUAAGUAUUCCGCCUGGGGAGUACGGCCGCAAGGUUGAAACUCAAAGGAAUUGACGGGGGCCCGCACAAGCAGCGGAGCAUGUGGUUUAAUUCGACGCAACGCGAAGAACCUUACCCAGGCUUGACAUCCUGCUAAAGCCAUAGAGAUAUGGUGUCCCCUUCGGGGGAGCAGAGACAGGUGGUGCAUGGUUGUCGUCCGCUCGUGUCGUGAGAUGUUGGGUUAAGUCCCCCCAACAAGCGCAACCC